rnacentral:rRNA from 1 species
CACGUAGGGGGCGAGCGUUGUCCGGAAUCAUUGGGCGUAAAGAGCUCGUAGGCGGCCAACUAAGUCAGACGUGAAAUCCCUCGGCUUAACCGGGGAACUGCAUCUGAUACUGGAUGGCUUGAGUUCGGGAGAGGGAUGUGGAAUUCCAGGUGUAGCGGUGAAAUGCGUAGAUAUCUGGAGGAACACCGGUGGCGAAGGCGGCAUCCUGGACCGACACUGACGCUGAGGAGCGAAAGCCAGGGGAGCAAACGGG